rnacentral:lncRNA from 1 species
GAACCCUUGGAAGAUUUUUUUAAACAGAGGAGUGACGUGAUCAGAUUUGUAUUUUAGAAAAAUCACUCUGCUCUACAUGAUCCAGCUGCAGGACCUUGCCCCAACUUUCUAAAACUUAUUGUGUGCGUCUUUGUGCAUUGGUCUUUGAACUUGAAGUACAUAGGUCCACUUUUAGUUUUGCAAACACACCAAGCUCUCUCUCACUUCAAGGCUUUUGCACAUGUUCUUCCCUCUGCCUAGAAUACUUUCCUCCAUCUCAUGGCAUUUACUCAUUUUUGAGUCUAUUUCAAACGUCAUUUCUUUAGAAAGGCCUUUUCUACCCAAUCUAUCUGUAUUAGUUUUCUAUUGCUGCCAUAACAAAUUGUCACAAAAUUAGAGGUUUAAACAAUGAGAUUUAUUAUCUUACAGUUCUGGGAGUCAGAAGUCCAAAAUCAAAGGUUUAGCAGGGCUGAGUUUCUUCUGGAGAAUGCGUUUCCUUUUCUUUUCCAGCUUCUAUAGGCAGCCUGAAUUCCUUGGCUCAUGACCCCUUCCUCCAUCUUCAAAGCUGGAAACAGUGUCUCAGGUCUUUCUCACACUGCCAGCCCUUUGGUUUCCUAAUCCCCACUUCGACCUUUAAAGACUCUUGUAAUUACAUUGGGCCCAAGCAGGUGAUUCAAGAUAAUCUCCCCAUUUUAAGGUCAGCUGAUUAGCAAUAUUAAUUCCAUCUGCAAGCUGAAUUCUCUUUAGGUCUAUAACCUAACACAUUCACAAGUUCAGGGAUUAAGACAGACAUUUUUUGGAGGGCCAUUAUUCUGCCUACCACAGUAUUUAAAGUAGGUCUCCCUGAUAUUCUCUUGCUUAGCUCUUGUUUGCUUCAUGGCACUAAGCAGAAAUUUGAAUUUACUUAUUUCUUUGCUUGUUUUCUUUUUCUUCCUCUCUUCGGAAUGUAGUCUCUGCUAGGGCAGGAACCAUCUGUCUUGCUUGCCUUUGUGUGCCUAGCAAAUAGUAGAUGCUCAAUAAACAUUGCUGGAAUGAAUUGACAAAUGAAUGAAGAGUUGUUGAAAGGAUAGAUCAUGGAAUUUAAGUUGGAAAGGGAUUAAAGUAAAACUUUGAAGAGGUGAUGGAGACCCAGUCUUCAGAGGAGUAACUAAGGAAAGCAGCUAGAAAGAUGAGAGGCUGUGGAUUGAGAGUAAGACAUUAGAAUGCAUGAUUUUACAGGUGAAAAAUGCUAAGGGUAUUUUAAUAUCUAGUAAAGUUAUUCAUAAAUAUCUCUGGUGGAGUUUGGGGUCCCUUUAAAAUAAAAUAGUAGUAUGUGCUCUCUCUUAAGGAAAAUAUAUAACUAACAUCCACACAAAAUUUUGCAUCUAUUUCAGGAGGCCCACAGCUGUCCAAAUCUUCAGUGAAUGAGGGGAGUGACUUAGAGGCCGGGAAAUGACAGUAUAAGGAGGAUAGAGAGGUAUAGAGGUUACUGGCAUGAGCUUUAAAAUAUAUUUCCUCCCAACACUCCUUUAUAACACCUUAACUCACACCAAAAUUAGUCCUAGCAAGAAGAGUCUGGGCCACUUGGAAUUGGUUAUUGGGCCAAGGUGAGGCAAAAGGGAAUGAGACUUCCUCCUCCUCUUUAUUUUAGGAUGGUAACUAUAACUCAUGCAAUUAAGUGAAAAAAGAGCUACUCAAGUUAUCAACACUGAUCUCUUGGGACCGCAUACUCUUUGAGGAUGAAGCUCUGGGGAGAAUGGAAUGCAGACAGCAUGGCUGGAGAUCAUGAAGCCAUGCUGAGAGAAUGAAGACAAGUUUCGUACUCUAAGAAUGUCAGAGCAGAAAGCUAGAAAUGCCUGGGUCCUGAUAACCUCUGUGGAGCUCUCAUCUAUCUCCUCUGGAUGUAUGUGAGGGAAAGGAAAAUCCUUGUCUAGCUAAGGCACUGCUAUUUGGAAUUUGGGUUGUCAAACUCAGUCCCAGAUGGAUAACACUGAAUUGAACAGAGAAAGCAGGAUCUUAGACCUGAUGUGUUCAGAUUAAUAUCUUCAAUUGCCCUGGUCUCAGAGAUGCUAAAAUCUCAAACCUGAGGCAUCCUUGGCUUCCCACAUGAAGACUUGGUGAAGGGAAAGGACAUUGAACUGGGAAUUUGGAAAACUGGGUUCUGCCAUUUACUAGCUGUGUAAUUUUGGACAAGAUGGAGAGCCUCUCUGGGGCUCAAUUUCCCCUGCUGGAAACACAGAGAGUUCUAGCGAUCUCAGUUUCCUUGCAUUGCUCUAAGUCACUCUUUCUCUCACCCUAUGACUGAGUCAACACUGGGGGUGGAUCUAUGUAGUCAUACUGUG